GAUCGAUUAGCAUGCGAGUCGAGAGGUGCAAGACCUCGGCAUACUGCUCAGUAACACGUGGAUAACCUACCCUAUGGAGGGGGAUAACCCCGGGAAACUGGGGAUAAUACCCCAUAGACUAUGGAUGCUGGAAUGCCCUGUAGUUGAAAGGUCCGCCGCCAUAGGAUGGGUCUGCGGCCGAUUAGGUUGUUGUUGGGGUAACGGCCCAACAAGCCUGUAAUCGGUACGGGUUGUGGGAGCAAGAGCCCGGAGAUGGAUUCUGAGGCACGAAUCUAGGCCCUACGGGGCGCAGCAGGCGCGAAAACUUUACAAUGCGGGAAACCGUGAUAAGGGAACUCCGAGUGCCCGUAAAAUCGGGCUGUCCAUCUGUUUAAAUAACAGGUGAAGA
rnacentral:rRNA from 1 species